GACGAACCGUGCAAACGUUAUUCGGAAUCACUGGGCUUAAAGCGCGUGUAGGCGGGACGGCACGUCGGUCGCUGAAAGCCCCCGGCUCAACCGGGGAAUGGGCGCCGAUACGACCGUCCUGGAGGAACGUAGGGGGACCUGGAACUUCCGGUGGAGCGGUGAAAUGCGUUGAGAUCGGAAGGAACGCCCGUGGCGAAAGCGAGGUCCUGGACGUUUUCUGACGCUGAGACGCGAAAGCCAGGGGAGCGAAC
rnacentral:rRNA from 1 species